UACAGAGGGGGGCAAGCGUUAUUCGGAAUUAUUGGGCGUAAAGGGCGCGUAGGCGGCUUGGCAAGUGGAUGGUGAAAUCCCUCGGCUUAACCGAGGAACGGCCGUCCAAACUGCUUCGCUUGAGACCGGGAGAGGUGAGUGGAAUUCCCAGUGUAGCGGUGAAAUGCGUAGAUAUUGGGAGGAACACCAGUGGCGAAGGCGGCUCACUGGACCGGUACUGACGCUGAAGCGCGAAAGCGUGGGGAGCAAACGGGG
rnacentral:rRNA from 1 species